rnacentral:rRNA from 1 species
CAGUCGCCGCGGGAAUACGGAGGGUGCAAGCGUUAUCCGGAUUUACUGGGUUUAAAGGGUGUGUAGGCGGGCUAUUAAGUCAGGGGUGAAAUCUCCGAGCUCAACUCGGAAACUGCCUUUGAUACUAUUAGUCUUGAAUUAUGUUGAGGUUGGCGGAAUAUAACAUGUAGCGGUGAAAUGCAUAGAUAUGUUAUAGAACACCGAUUGCGAAGGCAGCUGACUAAGCAUAUAUUGACGCUGAUGCACGAAAGCGUGGGGAUCAAACAGGAUUAGAUACCCCCGUAGUCCCUGUCUCUUAUAC